rnacentral:lncRNA from 1 species
CCCCGGUGGGAGAGGAACAUGCCGCAUACACCCGCAGCCGAGAUCCCUGAUAGGGAGAGGAACAUGCCACAUACACCCUAGCGCUCACUGUUCUUGCUCAUUAACAAGCCUCGAAGUUCUUCCGGUGGGAGAGGAACAUGCCACAUGCACCCGCGGCCAAGAACUAUCGAGCUUGUAUGCUGCACUAGCAGCCGCUGCACUAGCAGCAGGGAUUCCGGAAUCCACAUUACAUAACUCAAGGGUUGGUCUCACCCUAUAAUAUUGACCUAUCUAGGUCCAAGCCUUUGCUCAACCUAAGUUCAUACUUUAGGUUCAAUGUCAUUAUCUUCUUAGCCUAGGUUCAUUAACACUAGGUCCAAUGUUCUUAACCACCUAGGUUCAUUCGACUCUAGGUUCCAUAUCAUUACGUUCACAACCUAGGUUUACUUGACUCUAGGUUCAAUGCCAUUCAUAUUCUU